rnacentral:rRNA from 1 species
UACGUAGGGUGCGAGCGUUGUCCGGAAUUACUGGGCGUAAAGAGCUCGUAGGCGGCUUGUCGCGUUGUUCGUGAAAAUUUACCGCUCAACGGUGAACUUGCGGGCGAUACGGGCAGGCUAGAGUACUGCAGGGGAGACUGGAAUUCCUGGUGUAGCGGUGAAAUGCGCAGAUAUCAGGAGGAACACCGGUGGCGAAGGCGGGGUCUCUGGGCAGUAACUGACGCUGAGGAGCGAAAGCGUGGGGAGCGAACAGG